GGGGGGGUUCAGCUGGGCUGCGGCCUGGUUAUUCCAGGGAGGUUUUCUUUUUUUUCUUUUCUGGUUUCUUUUCCAAAACAUUUUCCAAAUAGAAAUCUUGAAUGCAGAUAAAAUCAAACAAAAGGCAGCAACACAAAAUUAAAUAUGCACCAGCAUGAAAUGCACAACCAUGUUUUCUAAACUUAUAAUAAAUUUUAAUUUUGACCAAAACUAUUUUAUUCACU
rnacentral:lncRNA from 1 species